GUGAAGGAGAAACAGGAAGGGUCCCCUUUUCCCCUUUCUCCUCCAGCAGCAGGAUGUGAGCCACCGGCAAGGAGGGACGCCAAUAAGGCAUCCGAUAAGAUAAGUCUUAUAAAAUAUAUAGAUUUAUGAUAAUUAAGACUGAGCCAACAGAUGAGGAAUCCUAGUCAUUGGCCAAGCAGCUUUGAACCUAAUACAAAUUUCUGUGUAUUCAUUUGGGCCUAACUUGGGCGGGCGGCUGGCGUAAAGUCCACAUGUGGCAGUGGGGCUCGGCGGCUUUUGGCAGAAAGAUUUAUCAUGACAAAUGACUGUGAUGUGGACGUGUAAUGGAAACAAACCCUCUUCUCCCCAUAUCACCUAUGUUUAUUGUGGUGUUUUACUACAUCACAGAAGCCUUAACUAAGACAGUGCGCAUGGCCUCUUUUCGGGAAAUGUGUUAUAGAGUAAAGAAAUUAAGUACUGAGACUAUAGCUCCAUGGCAGAACACUUGACCCUCAUCCAUGAGGUCCUGGGUUCAAUCCUCAGUAUUGUAAAGCAAAACAAAGAUCAUCCAAAAGUAGACAGCAUUUAUCAACUUAAAGAAUUUCUCUUUAAUUAUAUUCCUAUUUUAUUAAUUAUUUCUUCAAGCAGAGUUUGCAAAAUUAUCUCUUAUGAGCCAAACUGAAUUUGACGCUCUCUCUCUCUCUCUCUCUCUCUCUCUCUGUGUGUGUGUGUGUGUGUGUGUUGGCACACGCACUGUGAACUAAUGUAAGCAUUUAUUUAAUGUAAAAUGUCCAUUAGUACUUUGUGCUAUGAGAAAAGAUGAAAUUCAAAUUUCAGUAUCCACAAAUAGAAUUUUAUUGGGACACAGUGGUGUUCACUCAUUUGUAUGGCUGCCUUGGUAACAACAGGACAAUACUGAAUUGCUAUAACAGGAUAUAAGUGGACAAGAAUGUGAGUUUGUUGUGUUACAGAAAAAUUUAAUUGGCCUUUGCAAAGUAGUUACUUUAUAUAGUAAUAAAAUAAUUACAAAGUCAUUUUAUUUAGUAGUUCUUCUGAUCCUUUUAUGUAAAAACUGGCAUUUUGGGAAAGUUGGUUUCUUGGCUAUGCGGAGUCAGGUAAGAACAACAUCUGGACCCCCGUGUCUCCUCAUACAGAUGUGCAGGCUGACCACAGUGUCAGCCUUCCUCCCAUUAGUCCUUUUGUGUAGCAGUGAGAGGGAGGGGCCUUCAGAGUGAGGGAACAAGAGAGGGCAAGAUGGAGGGGUGGAGAGAGGGAGGAGCUUUGGGACUGUUGGGGGGAUGAAGGGGUGGGGGUGAGUUAGGUCAGAUGAGGCUCUGUGCAGAAGGUGGGUGUGGAGUGAGCAGAGGGAGGGGGUGGAUUGCUUGCUGUGGAGGGAGCUGAGACACAGCCUGCUCCAGGCUCUCACCCUUAGCAGCCUGAGGAGUUCUAAUCUCUGGGGAUUGAGGUCUUGGUCCUCAACUUGACUACAUCUGGAAUUAACUAAAACCCAAGCAUCGGGGUACACUGUGGGUUUUUUCUUCAAUUAAAAAUCAAGGUGGUAAGACCCACUUUUAAUCUGAUCUUUUAAGGUGGUCAUAUCCACCUUAAAUCUGGGCCACACCUUUUGCUGUCAGCCUCUGUAAAUAGCCUGCCCCCCUGCCAGCUUGCUCCCACUCUCCCUGCCAAGUCCAUUCCUUUGCUGGCCCGAGAGCCUACUUGUUCAGGAUUCUGGUGUGUACUGCAGACCGGCUGAGACACUCAGCCUUGUGGAAUGAACAACUGCAGGAUUCUUGGACUUUCAUUGGUAGACAACCAUUGUUGGACUAACUGGACUGCAGCCCGUAGGUCAUUCUAAUAAGUCCCCUUUCUCUUCAUAUCUAUGCAUUCUCUAGGGAACUGUGGCUAACAUGGGAACCUUGACUCAGGCCAGGAUGGUGGCUGAGCUAUUCUGCAGGAGGGUGAGGAGGAACAGAGGAACAGGGAAAGAGACUAAGCCACUCUCAAGCGUGCAGGCCUGGGCUUCUCUAAGAGAGGAAGUAAGACAUACCCAAACAUCGGUCCUGGCAUGCCUAAUUUCUGGCUCCUGAGAGGCAAGUGUUUGUCUCAUCACUCAGCAUUUUGGUUCUCAAGUUAUACCACAAAAGGUUUCUAAACUCCCCCCCACACACCCACCCCAUUUUCCUUCUUCUUCUCCCCCCUUUUAAAUUUAAAUUAGAAACAAGCUUUUACAUGUCAAUCUCGGUUCCCUCUCCCUCCCACCGGCCCCUGCUGUGCCACCAACCCCCUAUCCCAUCCCAUUUCUGCGCCCCAGGGAGGGCGAGGCCUUCCAUGGGGGAUCUUCAAAGUCUGCCAUAUCAUUUGGAGCAGGGCCUGGGCCCUCCCCGGUGUGUCUAGGCUGAGAGAGUAUCCUGUGGAGUGGGCUCCCAAAGUCCAUUCACGUACUAGGGAUAAAUACUGAUCCACUACCAGAGACCCCAUAGAUAAAUCUGACCUCCAAAUUUACACUCACCCUCAGAGGGUCUGGAACCCCUUUUCCUUCUUUAGAGAUCUGUUUUUCAGACAGUGUUUCUCUGUGCAGCCCUGGCUGUCCGGGAACUCGCUGUUUAGACCAGGCUGGCCUGGAACUCACAGAGAUGCGCCUGCCUCUGCCUCCCGAGUGCUGGGACUAAAGUGUGAUCACUGGGCAAGAUUCGUUUAUUUUUACGUGCGAGUGUUUUGUGUGUGUGUGUACUCUCCGUGUGCAUGCGGUACCCACAGAGGACAGAAGACGGCAUCAGCUCCCCCACAACUGGGGACUCACUGAGCCAUCUCUCCAGUUCACACCUUCUCCUGUUGAAGGGGCUUCUGGAAAUUGGAGAGUCUUUGGAAAUUGCAGGUUUGUAUCAGGGAACAGAGAGAGGACAUUAACGGCCGGCAAUGGUGCUGGGCAUCUGGCUUAGGUGGCUGGACUGAGGACUCAGCGGGGUUUCUGGGUUGAGAAGGGUGUGAGCCUGCGGGGCAAAUGUGGAGUCAGCUGUGGCGCAGGGGGCACGAGCAGACGCCUGCGUGGAAGACAGACGCUGAGGGAAACUUGAGGCAGGACCAGCCCGAGCAGAAGGCUGGACUGUGGGGAAUGAUGAGUAGGACCUGGCAGGAGAGGCACAGGCAGGGAUUAGCAGAGAGGGCGCCUCUGAGGAGAGGAGGAGGGCGCAGGAGGGGUCGGGUGGCUGCAGGGAAACGAGGGGAGAAAAGGACUUCAGCUCAGGGAGAGACAGGCGCGGAAAGACCUGCGUAGAGAAGGCAGUGAGGGAAGGGAGGGGCGGGCAGGGGAUGCGAAGGUGUUUAGGAGAAGGGAUGGAACCGCAGUGGGAGGGAACUGGGGGGACCUAGAGAGUGGGCGGGCGGGGCGGGGCGGGGCGGGGACUACCCAGAAGGUAGAAGGGGGGGGGCGGUGCGGAGGGGGCGCGGGUGGGCGUGAAUGGGAAAUGAGCAGAAGGCAAUGGCGGGGAGUGUGUGUGUGUGUGUGUGUGUGUGUGUGUGUUGUGCGUGUGUGGUGAGUGUCAAUACGUGUGUAUGUGUACGUGCUUGUGGCGUGUGGAUGCGCGUGCGUGUGUGCGCGCAAGUGCAUGUGCACGUGUGUGGUGUCUGUGCGCGUGUGUGCACGUGUGUGGUGUGUGUGUGUGGUGUCUGUGCGUGUGUGCACGUGUGUGGUGUGCGCGCUUGCGCACGCGUCUCUGUGUGCACGUGUGUGUGCACGUGUGUGUGCACAUGUGUGUGAGUGUGUCUGUGUGCGUGUACGAUGUAUGGAGGUCACAGGACUUGGGAGGGUCCUGGCCUCAGGUUUGGCUGAAGGCAGCGUUGCACAUGAGCCACCAGCCAACUGCUUCCUCUCUUUCUGAGGCAGGACAGGAGGACAGCAAUCAAGAGGACAUGAGAAACGGAGAGGACCCCUCACAGCCCCCUGUUGGGUUAUGUCUCUUGCUGGAGAUAAGAACUUUCAAAUUUUUAUUUUAAUUUAUUAUUAUUAGUAGUAGUGAGGUAGAAUUUCACCAUGUAUAUCUGGCUGGCCUGGAACUGCUGUGUAGACCAGGCUGACCUCAGACUCACAGGGCUAUGCCUGAAAGGUUCAGGCAUUAUGCUGGCCUGCCCCUAUUACCUGGUGGAACAGGCAGUACCCUGGUCAGCCCAAGGUUCCAUGGGAACUAAGUCUGCGCGCAGGUGCAGAGGACCCCUUUAAAAGACAGGUCCCUGCCCAUUUACGCUCUCUGUUUCCUCUCUCUGUUCCCCCGCUCUGCUUUGUCUCUGCUUUCUCUCUACUCUGUCUCCCACCUAUGCUCUCUCUCUGUCUCUCUAUGGCAACCGGCCAUGGUGGUCAGCCAUUAUCCUGUUCUUCUUCUCUUAGUCUCCAUACUCUGCCGGGCCUAUAAUAAACUUAUAGUCAAUAUGUGUCAUGCCUCAGCAUUUCUAUUCUUUUUAAACAAAAGAUAACAUUUUGGCGCCCAACGUGGGGCUCGAACCCACGACCCUGGGAUUAAGAGUCCCAAGCUCUACCGACUGAUUUCUGACUCUCUUAUCUCUAAACUCUUUCCAGACCACUUAAACUACUUUUGGACACAUUUUAAAAUUGACUCUUAAAAAAAUGAUUGUGCUUACAUGGCCACCAUUUCUGUCAUAAACUGCUUGGUUGCGGGAGGUCUGACUUUAUUUCCUAUGUAUUUUUUUUUUUUUUUGGUGGAUCAUAAAGCAUUUGCAGCCAUCAAGGUCAUAAGGUCAACUGGGUGAGCUAGAGAUAGAACACUGUCAAAAGAACUAAUUAGGUAUUUAGUAAAGACAUUUUAUUUCUGAGAACACUGUCUUUCUUCGUUGGAGUAGAUAUACGUAUUGGCUUACAGAAAAAAUUUGGAAGAUGUAGUUUGUGUCAGGGAAGUCUAAUAACGGCAAACUUCUGAAUAGCAGAAAACGAAGAUGUAUAGAGGAAAUGGAUUUUGUAACUGUGUUCCACCGGGGUGAGGGCAGGGACACAGCUUGAUCCUGAAGAUCACAGUGGAAGCCCCUAUGGCCCACGUGGAGCCGGAGGUGCCCCUGGCUGAUAGCAAGGAGGCAGAACAACACACCUUUCUUGUGGUUCUAGUCGGCAUUUCUUAGGCCUUGUCCUCUGUGAAUCCUGUUUCUUCAGUAUGCCGUCCUCAUUCUUCCUGAGGGAUUCCCGAUUUCUGCAAACUGGUGGCUCACAACAAUGGGCUUUAGAUGAAAUUUCAUUAUCGGGUCCUGUGGCAAACCUUACUUGAGAUUCCAGUCUUCUUGGAAUUCCUGUCUGGGAAUCGCGUCUCUUUAGAACGCCACCUGAACACUUUCUUUCUCUUUCACGGGGCUCGCACUCUAGCAGUACAGAUCUGUUCCUGGUGGGGGAGUCGCACCUCGUUGGAGUCCCACACUCACUCUUCAGAUGGCAUCUGCUCUUCUUCAAAGAAUCCCUGCAUACUAGUGGCUUUUUGGGAAGUUUUCUAUCCGUGCAACCUGGGAAUAGAACUGAGUAUACAGCAAAAGUGUGUGAUUCAGGUAUCCAGAGUUUCUGUCCCCUCCUCCCAAUAUAAAAUGGUGGAAAUCACAUAGUGUAGAUAUUUAUGUGACUUAGACAUUAGAUAACACAGGUAUUGAUAACUAAUAAUAAAGUACAGAUAUUAUUGAUAAAAUUCUGGAUUCUUUUCAGUCAACUGGAAGACAUGACGGGAAGGAAUUUGCCAUUUGCUCAGUAGUAGGACUAAUGAGUAUUGGCUAGGGGGUUAAUGAGUUUGUAGCCUGGGAACAAAUCAGAGUGAAAGAGGUACUGUGGGAAGAAACAAUUAUCUCUUAAUAUGUGCUGUCUCUGUUGACAAGAAGCGUGUUUCAUCCCCUAAGAGCAGUAAGAGUGCUGAGAGCCAUUGUGCUCAUCUUAUUCUAAGCGCCCAUGUUCCCUAUGCUUUCAGAUUUAUUUAUUUUGUGUUCAGUGUGUGUUUUUGGUGAAAGGGCACCAUAUGUGUAUACCACAUGUGUCUUUUGGAGGUGAGAAGAGAGUGCCAGGUUCCCUGGAACUGGUGGGAGGCACCAUGCAGGUUCAGAGAAUCAGGACCUCAGCAUGACCUGUAAGUGCUCUUAACCAUUGAUCUCCCCUUUGAGUCUCUCCAGCUCUGCCCAGCACCCACUUUUUUGACCAUAAUAUGAAACAGUCCAAUCUUCACAACAGCCAGGUAAGCCGGACACUGUUGUUGUUUGAAUUCUACAGCUGAAGAUGAAAUGAGAGUGUUGUCUAGGUGAUGCUGAUGGUGGCUCUGGGAACUGUACCUGUUAGUCAGACUCCAGAGUUCAGCUUUAAAUAUCACUUUAGACUACUUGAAACACACUAGCUCCUUUGUCAGCAUUUCAAUCCCUUUAACUGUGUGUGGGUGAACCAGCCCUCCAGGGCAUCAGUUCCUGGGUCGUCUCAUAAAACUCAAUUUGUAGCUUUGGGUAAGAACUCUGAUUUUUGUUUGUUUGUUUGUUUUCUCUUUAGUAAUUUGGUUCCCUAAAUCAAGAAAAAGGAUUAUCUAGGCUGCCAAAGUAAACUGUGAGGACUCUUGCUGGGGAGCUCUCGGUAUGGACAGAGACACAAUGACCCCCUGCCUGUCAAACAAAGUCAUUUAGAAGGCAGCAGAAAGGAGGUGAGGUCCUCCACUUGCAAAAAGCAAGGAGCUCUAAGAACUACGAGGUUCAGAAUGUAUUCUCCCCAUGCUCUGCUGAGGUUGAGUGAGAACAUGUUCAUUGGACACCCAGGAGGUAGUUGGGGUGCAGGUGUUAUACCUUUUGUAGGGCUUCAACUCCCCUGCAGGGGUAGCCCCCAAAGCAGACACUGGAAGCCUUAGGAGAUUUUGAAUAAGAGGAGCAUCUGAGGUGAGCUUAGAAUUACAGGCCUCCAUUUGGGGCAUACAGAAAAUAUGAGAUUCUACAUCACAUAUCUGAGUUGAAAAUCGUUAAGGAACUUACCCAUAGGAAGUAGUGCUAAAAAACAAAACACAGAAGAGACAUCAGUGGAGAUUUUCAAACUCCGAGAACCCACCUUCCAAUAGCCUUUCUCUAGAAGAUUAUUUUUAUUUUCCUUUAUGUGUUUAUGUCUGUGAAACAGGUGUGGAGGUACUCUAUGACGCCAGGCUGAGUUGCAGGCAGCUGGGAGCUGCCUCUUCAUGGGAGCUGAGAACUGACCUCAAGCCUUCUGAAACUGGCUUCCUGUUCAUCCCCUGCCCACAGAGAAGACCACUCUGUCCCACUGAGCUAAGAUCCACAUUCAGCUUGGUGAUGAUGUCAGUCCUCCCUGGGGUGAUACCAGUCCUCCCUGGGUCUAAGGAAAUAAAUUUCCUGCCUUCCCUUACUCUUCUGCAAGUCACUUUAAAACCCCAUUCUCCUAAUGAUAGUGAUCACAAUUAUCAUCACGUCUUGACAGCAUGUUUUGUCAGCCCUAGAGUUUUUCUUUUUUUCUUUACUUUCUUUCUUUCUUUUUUUUUUGGGGGGGGUGUGGGUUUCAAGACAGUGUUUCUCUGUAUUGCUUUGGAGGUUGUCCUGGAACUAGCUCUGUAGACCAGGCUGGCCUCCAACACUCAGAGAUCUGCCUGCCUCUGCCUCCUGAGUGCUGGGAUUAAAGGCAUGUGCCCCCAACGUCCG
ensembl:lncRNA